rnacentral:rRNA from 1 species
GACGAACGCUGGCGGCGUGCUUAACACAUGCAAGUCGAACGGAAAGGCCCUGCUUUUGUGGGGUGCUCGAGUGGCGAACGGGUGAGUAACACGUGAGUAACCUGCCCUUGACUUUGGGAUAACUUCAGGAAACUGGGGCUAAUACCGGAUAGGAGCUCCUGCUGCAUGGUGGGGGUUGGAAAGUUUCGGCGGUUGGGGAUGGACUCGCGGCUUAUCAGCUUGUUGGUGGGGUAGUGGCUUACCAAGGCGUUGACGGGUAGCCGGCCUGAGAGGGUGACCGGCCACAUUGGGACUGAGAUACGGCCCAGACUCGUACGGGAGGCAGCAGUGGGGAAUAUUGCACAAUGGGAGGAAGCCUGAUGCAGCAACGCCGCGUGCGGGAUGACGGCCUUCGGGUUGUAAACCGCUUUCGCCUGUGACGAAGCGUGAGUGACGGUAAUGGGUAAAGAAGCACCGGCUAACUACGUG